rnacentral:misc_RNA from 1 species
GAUGAAGAACGUAGUGAAAUGCGAUACGUAGUGUGAAUUGCAGAAUUCAGUGAAUCAUCGAAUCUUUGAACGCACAUUGCACCUCUCGGUAUUCCGGGAGGUAUGCCUGUUCGAGCGUCAUUUGUACCCUCAAGCUCUGCUUGGUGUUGGGUGUUUGUUCCGCCUCUGUGUGUGAACUCGCCUCAAAACAAUUGGCAGCCGGCGUACUUGUUUCGGAGCGCAGCACAUUUUGCGAUCCAGAUCAACGUACAGCGGCAUCCAAGAAGCCUUAUUUAACGCUCUUGACCUCGGAUCAGGUAGGGAUACCCGCUGAACUUAAGCAUAUCAAUAACCGGAGGA